rnacentral:misc_RNA from 1 species
GAAAUGCGAUACGUAGUGUGAAUUGCAGAAUUCAGUGAAUCAUCGAAUCUUUGAACGCACAUUGCGCCCUUUGGUAUUCCAAAGAGCAUGCCUGUUCGAGCGUCAUUUGUACCCUCAAGCUUUGCUUGGUGUUGGGCGUUUUGUCUUUGGCUUUUGCCCCAAAGACUCGCCUUAAAACGAUUGGCAGCCGGCCUACUGGUUUCGGAGCGCAGCACAUUUUUGCGCUUGCAACCAGCUAAAGAGGCCAGCAAUCCAUCAAGACCUUCUUCUCACUUUUGACCUCGGAUCAGGUAGGGAUACCCGCUGAACUUAAGC